GGAAUCUUCCACAAUGGGCGCAAGCCUGAUGGAGCAACGCCGCGUGGGUGAAGAAGGUCUUCGGAUCGUAAAACUCUGUUGUUAGAGAAGAACACGAGUGAGAGUAACUGUUCAUUCGAUGACGGUAUCUAACCAGCAAGUCACGGCUAACUACGUGCCAG
rnacentral:rRNA from 1 species